rnacentral:rRNA from 1 species
GACAGAGGGUGCAAACGUUGUUCGGAAUUACUGGGCGUAAAGCGUGUGUAGGCGGCUUGGCAAGUCGGAUGUGAAAGCCCCGGGCUCAACCCGGGAAGUGCACUCGAUACUGCCGAGCUUGGGUAUCGGAGAGGUGGGUGGAAUUCUCGGUGUAGAGGUGAAAUUCGUAGAUAUCGAGAGGAACACCGGCGGCGAAGGCGGCCCACUGGACGAAUACUGACGCUGAGACACGAAAGCGUGGGGAGCAAACAGG